AUGAGUAUUCAUUCACUCAGUGAUGUUCUGAAGCAUUUUCUUGUCCAGCCACAUCACAGUUCACAUCAAAACAGAGUACCUAUAUUCACUGCUGAAGCUGAAGAAAUAUCUUCAAAUUGGAAUUCACCAUCAAUGCCCAUAGUACAACAGGGCCAUGUGGAGAGCACCAAUUUUUCACUUUAAUCUGUGCCAUAUACAAACAGGUGAAAGCCAACAGUGAAAACAUCUGGCUUCAGGUGUGAGUUUGUACCUGUUUUAAAAAGAAUAAAUCAACUUCUCUUACUAGAUAAGCA
rnacentral:lncRNA from 1 species